rnacentral:misc_RNA from 1 species
GAUGAAGAACGUAGCGAAAUGCGAUACGUAAUGCGAAUUGCAGAAUUCAGUGAAUCAUCGAGUCUUUGAACGCACAUUGCGCCCCCUGGUAUUCCGGGGGGCAUGCCUGUCCGAGCGUCAUUUCUGCCCUCCAGCCCGGCUGGGUGUUGGGCGCUGUCCCCCCGGGGACACGCCCCAAAGGCAGUGGCGGCGCCGCGUCGGGUCCUCGAGCGUAUGGGGCUUUGUCACCCGCUCGGGACGGACUCGUCGGCGCUGGUCUUCCUCCAGGCGACCCUUCGGGGCUCGUCUUCCUUCGGUUGACCUCGGAUCAGGUAGGGUUACCCGCUGAACUUAAGCAUAUCAAUAAGCGGAGGA